UGGAAGGGGCGGCGUGCUAUACAUGCAAGUCGAGCGAACAGAAAAGGAGCUUGCUCCUUUGACGUUAGCGGCGGACGGGUGAGUAACACGUGGGCAACCUACCCUAUAGUUUGGGAUAACUCCGGGAAACCGGGGCUAAUACCGAAUAAUCUCUUUUGCUUCAUGGCAAGAGACUGAAAGACGGUUUCGGCUGUCGCUAUAGGAUGGGCCCGCGGCGCAUUAACUAGUUGGGGAGGGAACGGCUCACCAAGGGGACCAUGCGUAACCCAACUGAAAGGGUGAUCGGCCACCCUGGGACUGAAACACGGCCCAAACUCCUACGGGAGGGAGCAGUAGGGAAUCUUCCACAAUGGGCGAAAGCCUGAUGGAACAACCCCCCGUGAGUGAAGAAGGGUUUCGGAUCCUAAAACUCUGUUGUAAGGGAAGAACAAGUACAGUAAUAACUGGCUGUACCUUGACGGUACCUUAUUAAAAAGCCACGGCUAACUACCUGCCAGCAGCCGCGGUAAUACCUAAGUGGCAAGCGUUGUCCGGAAUUAUUGGGCGUAAAGCGCGCGCAGGCGGUCCUUUAAGUCUGAUGUGAAAGCCCACGGCUCAACCGUGGAGGGUCAUUGGAAACUGGGGGACUUGAGUGCAGAAGAAGAAAGUGGAAUUCCCAGUGUAGCGGUGAAAUGCGUAGAGAUUUUGAGGAACACCAGUGGCGAAGGCGACUUUCCUGUCUGUAACUGACGCUGAAGCGCGAAAGCGUGGGGAGCAAACAGGAUUAGAUACCCUGGUAGUCCACGCCGUAAACGAUGAGU
rnacentral:rRNA from 1 species